UCUUCACAAGACAUUAACUGAUGGACUGGAGUGGUGUGGAUUACUUGUGGAUUAUUGUGAUGUUUAUUGUGAUCAGCCGUUUGGACUCUCAUUCUGACGGCACCCAUUCACUGCAGAGCAUCCAUUGAUGAGACACUGAUGCAAUGCUACAUUUCUCCAAAUCUGUUGAAGAAACAAAUUAAUCUACAUCUUGGAUGGCCUGAGGAUGAGUGCGCUUUCAGCAUAUUUUCAUUUUUUUAGUCACAGGUCAAUCCGGAAGACUGUGGUCAUCUGGGACAUUAAGAGAGUGUUUGAACCGGAGCCCAGAGGUCAUUCUGGAAGGGGAUUGGGGUCGACCAUGCCGUGGAUCUCUUUCACCAGUGUCUGACGCCGUAGUGAGAAGCUAUUGUUCAGCGCUACACGCAAUCUGACCGGUCUGACCCUGUUUGCCACCCAAAACAAAACUGCUCCGUUUCUUUAUCAUUUACAUCUGCAGCACAAACAGUAAAGAUUGAAUUACACACUUAACUUUAUUACUAGAAGUUUGAACAAACUCCUGAGAAUUUGACAUUUGCAUGUACCUUUAACUUUAUGCACAAUAACCUUUAAAGCAUGCAAAAAAAACACACAAAAAAAACCUUGUAUUUCAACAUUCUUCUUGAGUCUAAAUCCAGUUUUCCAUGAUGCAACUCUCUCACAAACACACACACACUUUCAAUGUGUUUUUAAUCUCAAAUCCCAAAGCGUGCAAAAUGUACACAAUCCCUUGCAGAUUCUUUUCCAAAGGGCCGAAACGGAGACGAGAAACAAGAGCCACGUUCUCUGGUGCCCUGGGCCGUCCGGAUGGAGAACGUGAAGGAAAGCACAGAAGAACGGAGGGACGACAAAGGGACGAACCAUGAUGCAUUUGUCUAUAUGAGGGUUUUAUUACAACACAUUGUUCCUGAAACUGGCCUGCAAAAUUGUUUGGUUGAGACGCAAAAUAAAACAUUAAAACUUC